CUGCAGGGACAGAUUUGAUCAGUCAGGCUAUUGGCUAUAUUCCAGGACUUAUGUGAUCCUGAGUAUACACAAAGCAUUACUGUAUGGUGCUAUAA
rnacentral:pre_miRNA from 1 species